CAUCUAAUCUUUCAGAUGCAAGAGGUGCCAUAGUUAAUGCUGUGGUAGACUCUUUGUCUGCGUAUAUGUCAGCUGCCUCAAAUCUGCCAGUCCAUACUGAUAGCACCAAAUUCCCUCGUUGUUUCCCUUGUAUGUUUUGGCUCUUCUCAAACAGAAAGCCUUUGGAACAGGCACUAGUACACGCUUGGAUGAUCGUGUAUAUGCCAUGUGCCAGAUAAAGAGUCAGCCUCUCAUUCACUUGAUGAAAGUGAUACAUCCCAACUUGUACAGAAUAGACAAGCUAACUGAUGAGAGCAUAAUACAUAUAAAUGACAGAGUUGUUCCUCAGCCUCCUCUUCAGAAAUUAUCUGCAGAGAAGUUGACAAGAGAAUGAGCUUUUCUUAUGGAUUGUGGUUCAGCUUUUUAUAUUUGGAUUGGAAAAAACUGUGAUAACAACUUCAUAAAAGAUGUCCUUGGAUACCCAAACUAUGUGUCAGUACCACAGAAAAUGACACAGCUUCCCAAG